rnacentral:tRNA from 1 species
AUUUAUAAAGUUUAUAAAACACUUCAUUUUCAUUGAAGAGAGAAGUACUUUACUUUAUAAAUA